rnacentral:rRNA from 1 species
AGGACGAACGCUGGCGGCGUGCUUAACACAUGCAAGUCGAGCGGAAAGGCCCUUCGGGGUACUCGAGCGGCGAACGGGUGAGUAACACGUGAGUAAUCUGCCCCUAGCUCUGGGAUAGCUCCGGGAAACCGGGAUUAAUACCAGAUACGACCACUUUAGACAUCUUCUGUGGUGGAAAGAACUUCGGCUAGGGAUGAACUCGCGGCCUAUCAGCUUGUUGGUGAGGUAACGGCUCACCAAGGCGACGACGGGUAGCCGGCCUGAGAGGGCGACCGGCCACACUGGGACUGAGACACGGCCCAGACUCCUACGGGAGGCAGCAGUGGGGAAUAUUGCGCAAUGGGCGAAAGCCUGACGCAGCGACGCCGCGUGGGGAUGAAGGCCUUCGGGUUGUAACCCUUUCAGCAGGGACGAAGCGAAAGUGACGGUACCUGCAGAAGAAGCGCCGGCUAACUACGUGCCAGCAGCCGC